rnacentral:tRNA from 1 species
GAGGUAUUAGUUAAACACUAACAUCACCUUGUCAAGAUGAAAUCAUGGGUUAAACUCCCAUAUACCUCU